rnacentral:lncRNA from 1 species
CCAGAUCACCAAGAAGAAAAGAAGAACCUUUCUUCUUCUCUUGUUCUCUCUCUUUUUCUCUCUUAGAUCUGAUCUUUAUCAGAUCUGUGCAUUAGGGAUGUAAGGAAGAAAGGAAGAAGAAGUUGAGCAUUGAGAUGUUGUGAUGUCCUAAAGAAGUCGUCCACUUCUUUCACGUCAAAAACCUCAUGCCCAAAAUAUUUUGUCAGACAAAACCAAAAACCUCUC